rnacentral:lncRNA from 1 species
UUUUUUUUUUUUUUAGUUGAACAAAUAAAUAGGAGAGGCCACUUAAAGUUAUUUCAAUCAGGAAAUAAAUGUCAGUAUGCUCUGUGAGUUUAAGUAAUCAUUAUUUCCAAAAAGGCAAGAGUCGAGUUAGAGAUAUUCCAUUACUGUGCUUUGUCUUUUUAACAUGGGCUUUUAAACUUGAAGAGACAUUUUAAAAUGUUAAUUAAGACUUUUGAUCUAGUAAAGAUCAUCCUGCAAUGAAGUUUUAGAUUUCCAUCCUUUGUAUGCCUUUAAUUGUCUUCAAUUAAAUAUUGUUGUUUCUUAUGGUUCCUUGUUUUCAUGAAAGGUCUAAUAUGAAUAUACAUUAUAUAGGAUAUAACCAAAAUUAAAAAUAAUAAAAAUGAAAUUCAACCUUCCCACCCCUCCAAACUACGAUGGUGUCCCUUCAGGUCCAAAUUGAGUCAUAAAUUGAGCGACACUCAGAGGCAUAACAUACCACUUCCCUGAUGUCUCUCAGUUCACUCUGUGGUCCACUGUAGAGGGAAACCACAUUUUUUUUUUUAAUGAAUUGAUCAAAAAUAGAGAAAUGGAAACAAUUGUCACAAAUUUCUUGGAAGGCUCUGUCAUACUGCUGGUCAUUUACAAAUCACAGGUUGUGAAAUGUUGAUCUAGUUUAUGCUCUUGAUCUCAGGCAAGAUAAAAUUAGCCCUGUAUAUAAACAUAUCCCCUACCCCAAUUUCCCAAGAUAUACAAUAGUAUAAUGUGCAAAGAUCAUGGCAUAAGGGACAUAAUAUAAAUGAACAUAUUUACAUAUUUUCCAGUUCAUCGAUAAGCAUGUUAAGGCAUGUGUAUAAGGUUAAUCUGUGAAUGAGACAAUAAAAUACAUUUCUGGGUAUUUUUCCAAAGGUGAAAGUAGGAUAUCGAAGAGAUAUUUGCCCUUCCCCAUUUAUUGCAUCACUAUUCACAAUAGCCAAGAAGCAGAAACAGCCUAAAUGUCCAUUCAAGGAGGAAUAGAUAAACAAAAUGUACACAUAUACAACAGAAUAUUAUUUGGCCACCAAAAAAGAGAAAAUCUUAGCAUUUGUGCAACAUAGUUGCCACAGGAGGACAUUAUGCUAGGUGAGAUAAACCAGUCCCAUAAAGAUAAAUACUAUGUGGUUCCACUUAUAUGAGAUCUCUAGAGUAGUUAAGCCAUUGAAGUGGAGCGUAGGAUGGUGGUUGCCAAGAGCUGUAGAGGGGAAUGGAAAAUGGGAAGUUGCUGUCCAAUGAGUCAUUCUGUAAUAGGGAAGAACAAAUCUGACUCCAUAUUCAAUCUUUUUCUUUGGCUUUUAACAUUGUGUUCUGUUGCCUGUGCUUAAUCAUGCUGGCCCUGCACCUUAUAAAAAGAAUGUUGCCUAUGGCCUAAAAUAUACAAGAUAGCCUAUUCUCAAGGCUCUGACCUUUGGGUGCAUUCACAUAGAGAUAAAAGCUACAGAACAGAGGAUAACAUUUGUCUUGUUGGAGGUUUACACGAGCAUCAUGGCCUGACCUGCUGUGGACAGGAGCAAGAACAAAGGAGUCCUACUCCAAGAAGUUUGCAAUGACUAACCAUAGCUAUCCCUCCUCUUGACAUUAAAAGGGCUUUGCUGAAAACCCUUCGAGGAGUUCCAUUUUUUUUGAGGGGCAGGGGCACAAGUCACCUGUCUCCUUGCAAGGCCUUGCGUAACCCUCUCUCUGCUCCAGACUCCAACAUUUUAAUAUUAUUUGGCCUCACUGUGCUUGGGGCAUAAGAACUUGUGUUAGACAAUAAAAAGUUAGAUGAAAAAGUUCCAGAGAUCUCUCUAUAACAAUGUUCAAAGAAUUUACUGUACUCUGCUCUUUUCUUAAAACCUUGUCAGUAUGGUAAAUUUCAUGCUAUGUGUUUUUCACCACAAUUAAAAAAGUGCUAAAUUUAGGUAAUAUAUUUGAUUUUGUGUUCAUUAUUUAUAGGCAGCUUCUAUAUGAGUUUUUGUAGGUAUGAGGGAGCAAAACAACCCCUUAAUAGCUGUUUUGGAGAGUUUUCAUCUUUCUAUCUUCAUGAAGAGUUGGGAUUUCAGGGCGAGUAGGGGUGUUAUGGAUAGGUACCCAGGAAGCUGGCUCUGAGGCUGGCUUUAUUGUUCAGAAAGCUUCCAUGGGGACGCCCUUGGAAUCAGCCCUGUGGGAGAGAGAAGGACAGAAUAGGGCAGAAAGAGAAGCGAGCUUCCAUUGCAACCACACUCUGGUCUCCAGCAUGUAGCUGGAGCUGGAUGGCCUUUUAAAGUUGGCCCAAAUGGGACUAAGGGGUUCAGGCCUCCAUACUAUUAAGUCUACCAGUCAUCAGAUGCCAGGAGGCCCCAGGAAAUGGUUGUGAUUUUGAUCAACACAGCUCCCUUCCAUGUAGGGUAACCACACAGAGGCCAUUAGGAAGGAGAACUUCAGUAUGGCAGAAGCAGCACGUCAGUCCACAACGGGAUCCGGGAGCCAAACCAGAGCGCCCACUAGAGACAGUUGAGAGAAGUAAAAACAGGCUAUUUAGAAACGGGAUGAGAAAGUGAGAUGGGAAAAGAGGGAAUUGGAUGAAUGGGAGGUAGGUAGUAAUGUUGCCCUUUUCCAGAACAUAAGAGAUGGGCUGGAAUCUAGGACAUCUCUGUGUUUGAAAAGAAAGUCUUCCUGAAUGAGAGUUUAUACACGUGUCCAUUUUUAAAGCUGUAGGCUUAGUCUAGGAUCUUUGCUUCACCUGAAUAUGAUUCAAUCUUCACAUAAAACCCAUGACUUUAAUGUAACCCUGCCUUUAGACUCACAGUGAAAUAUUUUCUAUUGUCAUGAUAAUUAUCUAUACUUCUGAUGCAUGUGUUAUUUGUACAUCACAGGUUCUUAAUGAAAAAUUUUCUUUACCCUCUAAUCUCCUCUUGAAGGUUAUAAUGGCAAUUAUAUAUCCUUCUUGCUCAUACAUAAUACAUGAAUCCUGCAGAAGUAGGUUAUUGAAGUAUUCCACUUAUCUUCUGCAUCACCUUUUCAGCUGAUGCGUAGUGAGUAGAGACUUAAUAUGCAGGCAUUCUCUUCUGCUUUUAUGCCCCAAUUGCAAAUCUAGGUUGCAUGUACAUAAAAGAGAGUUUUAGGGAGUUGGUUAUUUUUUGUAAUAAACAGUGAACUAGAUUGGAUUCUAGUCCUGCCUCUGCUGUUAACUAUGUAGGAUGUUGACCACAUGGGUUUCUCUCCCUUGUUCUCAUUUAUUGUUUGUAAAGUGCGGUUUUGGAUUGCACUAUCUGUAAUGACACUGCUCAAUCCCCACUGCACUGUUGAAUGAAUUGCUCGAAGUCUUCUGUAUACUCACAAUAGUCCUUGUUUUUCCAAGGAACAUGAAUCUUGCCUUAUUUACUGUAGCUCAACCUCCACAGAUCAUUUUGGUGCCCAAUUAAAUUUCAAAUAUUACACUUUAUCUUGGUUUCAUAAAUAUAAAUCCAGUUCUAAUCUGCAGUAGGGUCAAUUAUGCACCUCAGUCAAUUCAUAUGUUACAAAAUAUAAUGGUUUCAUGAGUUUCCAUAAUUGAUGAAGAGUUCCUGGCAACCUUCCAUGGUCAUUGGGGGCAAGAAAAAUUCAAACACCCUUUCAGGUCUGUUUCUCUGUUCCCCAUCCUAUGUCCCAAGUGAGAAGACAGUUCACAUGUCCCCAUGAAAAUGAAGGGAGUGUCUCAUAUUUAUGAGUGAAUUGUCUGUCCUUAGACUUUCUUGUCUAGCUGGGCAUCGGCUUUGUGUCUUCUGCUAUACAGCCAGCUGCUCUGGUUAUGCUGUGACCUGUGUUUUCUCUCCUGCUGCUGUCCAGGAAUUGAGAAGCUUCUCUGCGGGCAUCUCCUCCAUUACAUCUUGGAGGUGGGCAUCCACUGGAGUCUUGAAUUCUACCCAUACCUCCAAAUCAUUUGCAAGCAUUCCAAACAUGACCUUCUUUGGGAUUCCAUGACCUUCUUUGGGAUUCCUUUGCCUUCCUCGGGGAUUUUUUGGAGAGUCUGGAGAGUUGGCCCAUGUGUGAGCAUUCCCUGCUUCCUUCUCUAGACCCAUGUGAAAACCAGGAAUUUCUGCCACACUGAUCUGAAAUCUGAGAGAAAUCAGUUUGAUGAGCUUUGUCUUCCUCCAGCUCUUUUGCCAAUCAGAUAUUUCCAAGCAGGAAGGCAUGUUGUCACAUAUGGCAAGUUUCCAUGAAAUUACCCUAGGACCUGUUGGGGAAAAAAACCCUACUAUUCUGGGAUUCCUCAAGUUCUCUGGUUGUUUUUUGUUUGUUUGUUUGUUUUUAACCAAAUUCAUCCUUUGCAUAAUCCUAAAUGUGAACAUCUUUCCUUCAGUAUGUUUUUUUACCUCCUCCUCCCUCAAGCCCCUCCUGGAGACCCAGAAAAUCUCUCUCACUUCCCUCUUGUCUGGCAGGGACUUCUGUGUCAGUUCUGUCCUCUAACUUCCCAAAGGGGGAUUCAUUUUCUACCUUCCCUUGGGGAAUGAUGAUUAUCAAUAAGAAAGGUACUCUAGGUAGUUUUUUAAACAAAUAUGUCAUUCCCUCUGCUGAAAUAUGUAGUUAAAUCUCCUCAAAACUGAAAGACCAGUGGCUGUGUCUUAUAUUAAGGAGAAGGAUAAGGGCUUCAUUGCUCCCUUUAAUUUUGAUGGUAAUGGAUAUUCCAUUGGGAGUCCUGCUCUGACCUACUUACUGACUAACCCUCUGGGCUACUGGGCUUAAGUGUGGCACAGGGAAGCUUCUUCAGCAGGUCCUGCAGAGCAAGCAGCUCUGCCAUUUGGAGGUUUUGAAUCAGCAGAAUCAAUUUUGCUUGAGCUUUCUUUAGCUGAUUUGAUUGUUGUCCAGGAAUCUGUGAUUCCUCUCACAGAUCCCAGUAGGAGAAUUACCAUGAGGCCUCUAAGGCAGCAAGUUUCAAACUCUGUGUUGUGACCCAUUAGUGAGUUGUAAACUACACUUAUCAGGUCUUGAGAAGAGUUUAAAAGAUAUGAAAGAGGAUAGAAUGGAAAGGAAAAUGUCAGAGUACAUUGCCUAUAGCCAGGCAACAUUUACUGAAGCUUAUUUAUUUAUGUUUAAGAUCUUCUGAGUGUGUUGUACUGGGUUACAAAUUAAAAUGCAUUUCUUUCAAAGUCCUGAGGCUGCAAUUUUUGAAAGCCACUUCAGUAGGAUAUUUGAGCAAAGUCAUGCUUUGUUGGUCAAAUAACUUGUUUCCUUUCAAGAAACGGCUCUGGAUUUGGUACUGGGAACUGGAAGGUAGGGACUGGGUCUCUGAUGGUAACACAGGAGGACCAUUUUGCUCUUCAUGAACUGGGUGUACUCAUCAAAUGGAAGUGGCAUACAUGGGAUCAGGUACUACCUGAUCCAGAGCACACAGCUCAGUGAUGGAAAUUGGUUGUUCUUUCUCCCAGCAUGCAUAGUGCUUCACAUCUGCCACCUGACCCACUACCCACAGCUAGACUCCCCUGGGGAGUUCCUUUUGAUCUAUUGGCUGAGGGAAAAAGAGAACAAAAUCCUAAUACAUAAGUGGUUCCACCAAAAAUUCUAAAAUUGGCUCUAAGUAGACAUGCAAUAUUACAACCCCACCAGGUACAACUCCCAAGGUCAGAAUAGGAGAAUGGAAUUCUUUCCAGAGAGAGGAAAGUAGGCAGAGCUUUCCACUAGAUUGUCUAUUUUACCUGGAAGAAGUAUCUAAAAUAUAGGCUAACAUCCCCUUGGUUUUGUUGGUUGGUCU